rnacentral:tRNA from 1 species
AGGAGUAUGCUAAGGUAGCCUGACGGACUCCAAAUCCUGAUGCUAGAGUUCGAUUCUCUAUACUCCUGCCA